rnacentral:rRNA from 1 species
UACAGAGGUCUCAAGCGUUGUUCGGAUUCAUUGGGCGUAAAGGGUGCGUAGGCGGCGCGGUAAGUCGGGUGUGAAAUCUCGGGGCUUAACUCCGAAACUGCAUUCGAUACUGCCGUGCUUGAGGACUGGAGAGGAGACUGGAAUUUACGGUGUAGCGGUGAAAUGCGUAGAUAUCGUAAGGAAGACCAGUGGCGAAGGCGGGUCUCUGGACAGUUCCUGACGCUGAGGCACGAAGGUCAGGGGGAGCAAAACGGG